rnacentral:rRNA from 1 species
UACGAAGGUGGCAAGCGUUGUUCGGAUUCACUGGGCGUACAGGGAGCGUAGGCGGUUGGGUAAGCCCUCCGUGAAAUCUCCGGGCCUAACCCGGAAAGUGCAGAGGGGACUGCUCAGCUAGAGGAUGGGAGAGGAGCGCGGAAUUCCCGGUGUAGCGGUGAAAUGCGUAGAGAUCGGGAGGAAGGCCGGUGGCGAAGGCGGCGCUCUGGAACA